UACGAAGGGGCUAGCGUUGCUCGGAAUCACUGGGCGUAAAGCGCACGUAGGCGGCUUCUUAAGUCAGGGGUGAAAUCCUGGAGCUCAACUCCAGAACUGCCUUUGAUACUGAGAAGCUUGAGUCCGGAGAGGUGAGUGGAACUGCGAGUGUAGAGGUGAAAUUCGUAGAUAUUCGCAAGAACACCAGUGGCGAAGGCGGCUCACUGGCCCGGUACUGACGCUGAGGUGCGAAAGCGUGGGAGCAACAGG
rnacentral:rRNA from 1 species